rnacentral:rRNA from 1 species
AACGAACGCUGGCGGCAUGCCUAACACAUGCAAGUCGAACGAGACCUUCGGGUCUAGUGGCGCACGGGUGCGUAACGCGUGGGAAUCUGCCCUCUGGUACGGAAUAACUCAGGGAAACUUGAGCUAAUACCGUAUAAUGACUUCGGUCCAAAGAUUUAUCGCCUGAGGAUGAGCCCGCGUCGGAUUAGCUAGUUGGUGAGGUAAAAGCUCACCAAGGCGACGAUCCGUAGCUGGUCUGAGAGGAUGAUCAGCCACACUGGGACUGAGACACGGCCCAGACUCCUACGGGAGGCAGCAGUGGGGAAUAUUGGACAAUGGGCGAAAGCCUGAUCCAGCAAUGCCGCGUGAGUGAUGAAGGCCUUAGGGUUGUAAAGCUCUUUUACCCGGGAUGAUAAUGACAGUACCGGGAGAAUAAGCCCCGGCUAACUCCGUGCCAGCCGCCGCAGUAACAC